AUUGAACGCUGGCGGCAGGCCUAACACAUGCAAGUCGAACGAGUGGCGGACGGGUGGGUCAUGUCUGGGCAACUGACUGAUGGAGGGGGAUCACAACUGGACACGGUAGCCAAUACCGCAUUCCAUCGCCUAUGCCCAGUUGGGAUUAGCUAGUAGGGGGGGUAAAGGCCCACCAAGGCGACGAUCCGUAGCUGGUCUGAGAGGAUGACCAGCCACACUGGAACUGAGACACGGUCCAGACUCCUACGGGAGGCAGCAGUGGGGAAUAUUGCACAAUGGGCGAAAGCCUGAUGCAGCCAUGCCGCGUGUAUGAAGAAGGCCUUCGGAUUGUAAAGUACUUUCAGCUGGGAGGCGUUACCCGCAGAAGAAGCACCGGCUAACUCCGUGCCAGCAGCCGCGGUAAUAC
rnacentral:rRNA from 1 species